rnacentral:rRNA from 1 species
AUCAGCUUGUGGGUGGGGUAAUGGCCUACCCAGGCGACGACGGGUAGCCGACCUGAGAGGGUGAUCGGCCACACUGGGACUGAGACACGGCCCAGACUCCUACGGGAGGCAGCAGUGGGGAAUAUUGCACAAUGGGCGCAAGCCUGAUGCAGCGACGCCGCGUGAGGGAUGACGGCCUUCGGGUUGUAAACCUCUUUCAGCAGGGACGAAGCGCGAGUGACGGUACCUGCAGAAGAAGCACCGGCCAACUACGUGCCAGCAGCCGCGGUAAUACGUAGGGUGCGAGCGUUGUCCGGAAUUACUGGGCGUAAAGAGCUCGUAGGCGGUUUGUCGCGUCGUCUGUGAAAUUCUGCAGCUUAACUGCAGGCGUGCAGGCGAUACGGGCAGACUUGAGUACUACAGGGGAGACUGGAAUUCCUGGUGUAGCGGUGAAAUGCGCAGAUAUCAGGAGGAACACCGGUGGCGAAGGCGGGUCUCUGGGUAGUAACUGACGCUGAGGAGCGAAAGCGUGGGUAGCGAACAGGAUUAGAUACCCUGGUAGUCCACGCCGUAAACGGUGGGUACUAGGUGUGGGUUCCAUUUCACGGGAUCCGUGCGCGUAGCUNACGCAUUAAGUACCCCGUCCUGGGGA